rnacentral:rRNA from 1 species
AGUAAAAGUCGUAACAAGGUCUCCGUUGGUGAACCAGCGGAGGGAUCAUUACUGAGUUUACGCUCUAUAACCCUUUGUGAACAUACCUAUAACUGUUGCUUCGGCGGGUAGGGUCUCCGCGACCCUCCCGGCCUCCCGCCUCCGGGCGGGUCGGCGCCCGCCGGAGGAUAACCAAACUCUGAUUUAACGACGUUUCUUCUGAGUGGUACAAGCAAAUAAUCAAAACUUUUAACAACGGAUCUCUUGGUUCUGGCAUCGAUGAAGAACGCAGCGAAAUGCGAUAAGUAAUGUGAAUUGCAGAAUUCAGUGAAUCAUCGAAUCUUUGAACGCACAUUGCGCCCGCCAGCAUUCUGGCGGGCAUGCCUGUUCGAGCGUCAUUUCAACCCUCAAGCUCUGCUUGGUGUUGGGGCCCUACAGCUGAUGUAGGCCCUCAAAGGUAGUGGCGGACCCUCCCGGAGCCUCCUUUGCGUAGUAACUUUACGUCUCGCACUGGGAUCCGGAGGGACUCUUGCCGUAAAACCCCCCAAUUUUCCAAAGGUUGACCUCGGAUCAGGUAGGAAUACCCGCUGAACUUAAG